rnacentral:rRNA from 1 species
GGAGUCGGUUACGUCCCAUCCUCCGGGUCGGUGAUACCUGAUCUUGCCUUCCGUGAACAUCGAUACAAACAUCGUGGGAUUGUUACCCUAGUACGCGUUCAAUGCACGCAAGGGCGCCCGCGGUUUUACUGUGACUAAAAAAGCGCGACCAAAGCAGUCGUACGACCUGAAUUUGAAAGCAUGGGAUAACAAAGUAGCAGCCUACGGGUUACCGUUUCGGCUUUUAUUGGUUUUAAAGAUCUGUGGGAGAUUAUGGAUUCGCAUGACCAGUACGUGGUUUCGGCCACGUGCUUCUGGUAGCGGGGUUAUCCAACUUCGUUAUCAGCUUGCGCGUCCAGGAAUGAAGGAGGGUUGUUCGGGGGAGAACGUACUUGGGCGUGAGAGGUGAAAUUCUUAGACCGCCCAAAGACGAACUACAGCGAAGGCAUUCCCCAAGGAUACCUUCCUCAAUCAAGAACCAAAGUGUGGAGAUCGAAGAUGAUUAGAGACCAUUGUAGUCCACACCACAAACGGUGACCCCCACGAAUUGGGGAGUAUUUGGUUGAGGUGAAGCAAGCUCGCUUGCUGAUCCCGCCAAAAGAGAAUA